UACGUAGGUGGCAAGCGUUGUCCGGAUUUACUGGGCGUAAAGAGCGCGCAGGCGGUCGUUCAAGUCGCGUGUGAAAGCCCCCGGCUCAACUGGGGAGGGUCACGCGAUACUGAUCGACUCGAAGGCAGGAGAGGGAAGUGGAAUUCCCGGUGUAGUGGUGAAAUGCGUAGAUAUCGGGAGGAACACCAGUGGCGAAGGCGACUCUUUGGCCUGUAACUGACGCUGAGGCGCGAAAGCGUGGGGAGCAAACAGG
rnacentral:rRNA from 1 species